GUGCACAGAGAGCUUCGGUAGCCUGCGAAGCAGCCAUUUUCACUUCCACGGAGCAGAUGCUGGCCUGGGUGCUGGAAUAUGGAAAUGAGGAAGAUCCUGCCUGAGGAUUUCAUGACAGUGCUGCGAUUACCGACGUGAGCCACUGUGCCCAGCCUCACUUUAAAAAAAAAAAAAGGUUAUGAAGCAUCUCAACACAAGACCUCCUUUGCUCAUCACAACCACCCAGUGAAGCAGGCAAGACAACAGAAACUCCCCACCUGUGAUAGAUGUGAGGCCUGAAGUCUCCCACAUACCCACGGCAGAUGCAACGCACAGCGGUGACCAAUGGUGAAGGAUCUAAAACCUGAAAAGAGGCCAAAUGAUUCCUCAAAACCACGCAAGUACGAAGUAGCAGAGCGGAUCUCAAAUCCAGGUUGGUUUCCUUUUUACAACUGCCCAAGUCAUGAGUUCAUAGGGCCUGGAUGGCUGUACCGGAUUGCUCUCCAGCUGGUCUCUCUGCAUCCAGAAAUUUCUACAACCUACUGGGAAGCAAGCAGCAUGCUGGAGACCCUCAAAUACAUGUGAAAUGAAGG
rnacentral:lncRNA from 10 species